rnacentral:sRNA from 2 species
AUCCGAAUCUUAGGGGAGUAAUCUCUUUCUUAUUUUCAUUCAAUAUUCGAUGAGAAAAGAAGGUUUUCUAUCAACAUAAUUGAGCCUCAAUGCUCAUGGUAGAAAAGCCAAUUUAGCGCACUAUCGUUAAAGCGGUUGAUGAGACUUAAGACAGACACUUGGU